rnacentral:rRNA from 1 species
GACGAACGCUGGCGGCGUGCUUAACGCAUGCAAGUCGAACGGAAAGGCCCUGCUUUUGUGGGGUGCUCGAGUGGCGAACGGGUGAGUAACACGUGAGUAACCUGCCCUUGACUUUGGGAUAACUUCAGGAAACUGGGGCUAAUACCGGAUAGGAGCUCCUGCUGCAUGGUGGGGGUUGGAAAGUUUCGGCGGUUGGGGAUGGACUCGCGGCUUAUCAGCUUGUUGGUGGGGUAGUGGCUUACCAAGGCUUUGACGGGUAGCCGGCCUGAGAGGGUGACCGGCCACAUUGGGACUGAGAUACGGCCCAGACUCCUACGGGAGGCAGCAGUGGGGAAUAUUGCACAAUGGGCGGAAGCCUGAUGAAGCAACGCCGCGUGCGGGAUGACGGCCUUCGGGUUGUAAACCGCUUUCGCCUGUGACGAAGCGUGAGUGACGGUAAUGGGUAAAGAAGCACCGGCUAACUACGUG